rnacentral:rRNA from 1 species
GUUGUAUAGUCAAGUAAUUAAGUGCAUGUGGUGGAUGCCUUGGCAGUCAGAGGCGAUGAAAGACGUGAUAGCCUGCGAAAAGCUCCGGGGAGGCGGCAAAUAUCCUUUGAUCCGGAGAUGUCUGAAUGGGGGAACCCACCUACUUUAAGGUAGGUAUUGCAACAUGAAUACAUAGUGUUGCAAGGCGAACGAGGGGAAGUGAAACAUCUCAGUACCCUUAGGAAAAGAAAUCAAUUGAGAUUCCCUCAGUAGCGGCGAGCGAACGGGGAUCAGCCCAUUAAGUUAUGUGUGUUUUAGUGGAACGCUCUGGGAAGUGCGAACGUAGAGGGUGAUAUUCCCGUACACGAAAGGGCACACAUAAUGAUGACGAGUAGGGCGAGGCACGUGAAACCUUGUCUGAAUAUGGGGGGACCAUCCUCCAAGGCUAAAUACUCCUGACUGACCGAUAGUGAACCAGUACCGUGAGGGAAAGGCGAAAAGAACCCCUGUGAGGGGAGUGAAAUAGAUCCUGAAACCGCAUGCAUACAAGCAGUGGGAGCACCUUCGUGGUGUGACUGCGUACCUUUUGUAUAAUGGGUCAGCGACUUAUAUUCAGUAGCAAGGUUAACCGUAUAGGGGAGCCGUAGAGAAAUCGAGUCUUAAUAGGGCGUUUAGUUGCUGGGUAUAGACCCGAAACCAGGCGAUCUAUCCAUGAGCAGGUUGAAGGUUGGGUAACACUAACUGGAGGACCGAACCCACUGUCGUUGAAAAGCCAGGGGAUGACUUGUGGAUAGGGGUGAAAGGCUAAUCAAGCCUGGUGAUAGCUGGUUCUCCCCGAAAGCUAUUUAGGUAGCGCCUCGGACGAAUACCAUAGGGGGUAGAGCACUGUUUCGGCUAGGGGGUCAUCCCGACUUACCAAACCGAUGCAAACUCCGAAUACCUAUGAGUACUAUCCGGGAGACAGACUGCGGGUGCUAACGUCCGUAGUCAAGAGGAAAACAAUCCAGACCGCCAGCUAAGGCCCCAAAAUCAUAGUUAAGUGGGAAACGAUGUGGGAAGGCAUAGACAGCUAGGAGGUUGGCUUANNNNNNNNNNNNNNNNNNNNNNNGAAGCAGCCACCCUUUAAAGAAAGCGUAAUAGCUCACUAGUCGAGUCGGCCUGCGCGGAAGAUGUAACGGGGCUAAAACUAUGUGCCGAAGCUGCGGAUGUAUACUUUGUAUACGUGGUAGGGGAGCGUUCUGUAAGCCGAUGAAGGUGUGUUGAGAAGCNNNNNNNNNNNNNAUGCUGGAGGUAUCAGAAGUGCGAAUGCUGACGUGAGUAACGACAAAACGGGUGAAAAACCCGUUCGCCGAAAGACCAAGGGUUCCAGUCCAACGUUAAUCGGGGCUGGGUGAGUCGACCCCUAAGGCGAGGCCGAAAGGCGUAGUCGAUGGGAAAAUGGUUAAUAUUCCAUUACUUCUGUGUAAUGCGAUGAGAGGACGGAGAAGGCUAAAUCAGCCUGGCGUUGGUUGUCCAGGUGAAAGGAUGUAGGCAUGUAUCUUAGGCAAAUCCGGGGUACUCUAUGCUGAGAUCUGAUAGCAAGCUGUACUUGUACAGCGAAGUGGUUGAUGCCAUGCUUCCAGGAAAAGUCUCUAAGCUUCAGUUACACAGGAAUCGUACCCGAAACCGACACAGGUGGUCAGGUCGAGUAGACCAAGGCGCUUGAGAGAACUCUGCUGAAGGAACUAGGCAAAAUGGUACCGUAACUUCGGGAGAAGGUACGCUGUUGUUGGUGAUGGAACUCGCUUCCUGAGCUGACGACAGCCGCAGAAACCAGGCCGCUGCAACUGUUUAUUAAAAACAUAGCACUCUGCAAACACGAAAGUGGACGUAUAGGGUGUGAUGCCUGCCCGGUGCUGGAAGGUUAAUUGAUGGGGUUAGCGUAAGCGAAGCUCUUGAUCGAAGCCCCAGUAAACGGCGGCCGUAACUAUAACGGUCCUAAGGUAGCGAAAUUCCUUGUCGGGUAAGUUCCGACCUGCACGAAUGGCAUAAUGAUGGCGGCGCUGUCUCCAGCAGAGGCUCAGUGAAAUCGAAAUCGCUGUGAAGAUGCAGUGUACCCGCGGCUAGACGGAAAGACCCCGUGAACCUUUACUGCAGCUUGACACUGAACUUUGACCUUACUUGUGUAGGAUAGGUGGGAGGCUUUGAAGCUGGAACGCUAGUUCCAGUGGAGCCGUCCUUGAAAUACCACCCUGGUAAUGUUGAGGUUCUAACUCUGUCCCGUGAUCCGGGACGAGGACCGUGUCUGGUGGGUAGUUUGACUGGGGCGGUCUCCUCCUAAAGAGUAACGGAGGAGUACGAAGGUGCGCUCAGCGUGGUCGGAAAUCACGCGUAGAGUAUAAAGGCAAAAGCGCGCUUAACUGCGAGACCCACAAGUCGAGCAGGUACGAAAGUAGGUCUUAGUGAUCCGGUGGUUCUGUAUGGAAGGGCCAUCGCUCAACGGAUAAAAGGUACUCUGGGGAUAACAGGCUGAUACCGCCCAAGAGUUCAUAUCGACGGCGGUGUUUGGCACCUCGAUGUCGGCUCAUCUCAUCCUGGGGCUGAAGCAGGUCCCAAGGGUAUGGCUGUUCGCCAUUUAAAGAGGUACGCGAGCUGGGUUUAGAACGUCGUGAGACAGUUCGGUCCCUAUCUACCGUGGGCGCUGGAAAUUUGAGAGGAUCUGCUCCUAGUACGAGAGGACCAGAGUGGACGAACCUCUGGUGUACCGGUUGUGACGCCAGUCGCAUCGCCGGGUAGCUAUGUUCGGAAGGGAUAACCGCUGAAAGCAUCUAAGCGGGAAGCCUACCUCAAGAUAAGAUUUCCCUAGGACUUUAUGUCCUCUAAAGAGCCGUUCGAGACUAGGACGUUGAUAGGUUGGAUGUGGAAGCAUAGUGAUAUGUGAAGCUGACCAAUACUAAUUGCUCGUGAGGCUUGACUAUACAACACCCAAGCAGUUG